rnacentral:rRNA from 1 species
CGCGUGGGAACGUGCCCCCUUCUUCGGAAUAGCCUCGGGAAACUGGGAGUAAUGCCGGAUACGCCGGAUCAUCGAGAGAUGGUUCGGGAAAGAUUUAUCGGAGAGGGAUCGGCCCGCGUUGGAUUAGGUAGUUGGUGGGGUAAUGGCCUACCAAGCCGACGAUCCAUAGCUGGUUUGAGAGGAUGAUCAGCCACACUGGGACUGAGACACGGCCCAGACUCCUACGGGAGGCAGCAGUGGGGAAUCUUGGACAAUGGGGGCAACCCUGAUCCAGCCAUGCCGCGUGAGCGAUGAAGGCCU